GGUGAAGUCGCAAGAUGGAUCUCUGGAUUACGUUCUGAUCUUAGUGGCAAACGGGUGAGUAACACUUGAACAAUCUGCCCUUAAGAGGGGGAUAACCCCGGGAAACCGGGACUAAUACCCCAUAUAGCUCCCUGACGCAGGUUAGGGAAUGAAAGGGUCUCGCAAGAGCACCGCUUAGGGAUGAGUUCAUGGCCUAUUAGCUAGUUGGUGGGGUAAUGGCCCACCAAGGCUAUGAUGGGUAGCUGGCCUGAAAGGGCGAUCAGCCACACUGGCACUGAGAUACGGGCCAGACUCCUACGGGAGGCAGCAGUGGGGAAUUUUGGACAAUGGGCGCAAGCCUGAUCCAGCAGCGCCGCGUGAGGGACGAAGGCCUUAGGGUCGUAAACCUCUUUUAUAGGGGAUGAGUGCGCCGGGCAACCGGUGCAGGACAGUACUCUGUGAAUAAGCCACGGCUAACUACGUGCCAGCAGCCGCGGUAAUACGUAGGUGGCAAGCGUUACUCGGAAUUACUAGGUGUAAAGGGCAGGUAGGUGGUUUGGUAAGUUGGGGGUGAAAGCUCCGACAAAAUCGGAGAGGUCUUCCAAUACUGCCAGGCUUGAGUAUGGUAAGGGGAACCAGAAUUCCCGGUGUAGCGGUGAAAUGCGUAGAUAUCGGGAGGAAUACCGAUGGCGAAAGCGGGUUCCUAGGCCAUUACUGACACUGAUCUGCGAAAGCGUGGGGAGCAAACAGGAUUAGAUACCCUGGUAGUCCACGCUGUAAACGAUGGAAACUUGAUAUGGGAGGUAUCGACCCCUCCCGUGUCGAAGCCAACGCGAGAAACCUUACCUGGGCUUGAAGUGCUAGUUGUACCCCUGCGAAAGACAGGGGGACCCGCAAGGGAGCUAGUAGAGGUGCUGCAUGGUUGUCGUCAGCUCGUGUCGUGAGAUGUAUGGUUAAGUCCCAUAACGAGCGCAACCCUUGCCUCAUGUUGCUAAUCCGGCGCAAGCUGGAUGCACUCUUGAGGGACCGCCUCCGUUGAGGGGGAGGAAGAUGAGGAUGACGUCAAAUCAUCAUGGCCUUUAUGUCCAGGGCUACACACGUGCUACAAUGGCUACUACAGAUGGAACCCAACCCGCAAGGGGGAGGAAAACCGUUAAAAGUAGCCCCAGUUCAGAUUGAGGGCUGCAACUCGUCCUCAUGAAGUUGGAAUCGCUAGUAAUCGCUGAUCAGCAGGCAGCGGUGAAUACGUUCCCGGGCCUUGUACACACCG
rnacentral:rRNA from 1 species